AAUGUUUUUGUCAGAGAGGGUCCAGGCACGGUGUAUUAAUGUGGGUGUUGUGUCUGGUAGGUGGAUUGUCAUAGUAAGACCAUUGUGGGUAGGAGUUUAGCUUGGUGACAAAAAUCGCAGAAAAAGUCGGAAGGAGUAAGAACAGGUGUCUUCUAUUCUAACACAGUUCCACUUUUAUAUUGACCUAGUGGCGGGAAUAGUUUGUGGGAGCCUUACAGGACACAGAAAACGUUC